ensembl:lncRNA
UCUUAACCAAGCUGCAAACUAGUCAUCAUUAUGACAAUCUAGGAAUACCAACACAAAUCGUACUUACAACCACCAUCUGUGCCUGCAUUGGACUUGAGGGCGCUGUUGUCGGUAAUGAUGGAUAGAGUACUGGCACAGUUUCCUGAGGAGGCAUCUCGUUCUGCUCAUAGUAUGGGUCAGUGUUCUUCUCCAUGGGGUCCUCUGAUGGGCGCUCGCGGCAAUGGUGAACGCACUGAAAAUAGGUCAAAGUAAUUUCAACAAAGGCUUAUGCAUUGCUUCCUGGAGGGUUCAAUUUGGCUUUCUAACCUAAGGCGGAAUUUCCAGACAUAAAGAAUAUACUAGAAUACAAAAAUGAAAAAAUAAAUAACUUUUCCGGAUUACUAACCAAAAGGAUAAAAAUGAUGAUGAGAAGCAACAGGAUGGCUGCAGCUAACACCAGGACGGCAAUGCCCCAUCCGGGCACCCAGUCUCUAUCGUCACGGUUUUCUCCACCACUGGGAGAAACAGAUAUUCCUCCACCAUUGGCCGGGUCAAGGGUUGCUGUAUGGUUAGGGUUAUUGGUAGGGUCAGUGGCGUUGGUAAGGUCAGGGGUCGUUGUAGGGUCAGGGUUAUUUGUCAGGUCAGGGGUCACUGUAUUGUCAGUGGUUGUUGUUGGCUCAGGAGUUGAAGGAGUUGAAGUUGGCUGCAGAGUUGUAGUUGGCUCAGGAGUUGCAGUUGGCUCAGGAGUUGUAGGAGUUGAAGUUGGUUGCAGAGUUGAAGUUGGCUCAGGAGUUGAAGGAGUUGAAGUUGGCUGCGGAGUUGUAGUUGGCUCAGGAGUUGUAGUUGGCUCAGGAGUUGUAGUUGGCUCAGGAGUUCUAGGUGGCUCAGGAGUUGAAGGAGUUGAAGUUGGCUCAGGAGUUGGAGGAGUUGAAGUUGGCUCAGGAGUUGAAGUUGGCUCAGGAGUUGAAGGAGUUAUAGUUGGCUCAGGAGUUGUGGUUGGCUCAGGAGUUGAAGGAGUUGAAGUUGGUUGCAGAGUUGAAGUUGGCUCAGGAGUUGAAGGAGUUGAAGAUGUCUUAGGAGUUGUAGUUGGCUCAGGAGUUGUAGUAGUUUUCUUGCACACAUCUUCAUCCAAUAUGACUGGCAUUGAAUCUUGAGAAAAAAUAGAAAGAACAGAGAAGGUAAUUGAACACUGAACACGGAUACAACUGUGGUGAUUUGAAAAAGAUAUGGAUGUUGACGAACAAAUAUGUGAAAAUAAAGGUUGUACCGCUUGUGUAUUCCUCGUUCACAUUGAGGCUUGUCUGCGGUAGGGCUUCUGCUAAAUAUAUUGUAAACAAUGCACGGACAAUACUCGGGUCGAUGGAAGUUGUGUUGAAGAUGAUAGACGCGUUAGCUAUCAGUCCAUGGCUGUGAAGUAUAAAAAUAAUAAAUACAACUAAUAUUAAAUACCAACAUAAAACCAAAGCAAAACACAAAUCUAGCAUACCCAGACAAUAACAUAAAUUUAAGAGUACAAUACCUGUAGUUUAUGCAUUCAACACCUUCGUAGAAGAGUUUAGUUGGGCAUGCUUCACAUUUGUAAAUGCCAUCAAGCUGUAAUGCGCACCAAUAGUUGCUCUGAUUAAAUUAUCUACCUUGUUGUUUGGAACAAAAAUAUGACAAAUUAAGGUAUGUAUGCUAAUUCAAACCAUUCUGUUUAAAUACAUGUCACACUGUGGUCUGAGUUUGAAAAGCUGUGUAGAACAAUAGCUAAUGCAUUUUUUCUGGAAUUGACUCUAAAUAUCUACCUAGUAUCUUUUACAAAAUGGAUUUGUUUAUUUUUUGUCCUGAUAUCUAGGAACUGUGGUGUUGUUGUUGUUGUUAGAGGCUUUACCAGCGUCUCCACUUCUGCAUCCAACAUCUUGGAGUACUCUGAUUCCCUAUUCUGAAGGGAGGCAUUGAAGCCCACAUUGGUGAUCUCGAUUGCCAAAGCCACAGGCGUAGUGAUUAAUGUGACAGGGUCUACUGAAUCUGCAGAUGAACCUGAGGGGUUUGAUUGUGAGAUGUUAUCAUAUCAUAGAAUGAAGUUACAUUUCCACAUGAGUUAGGUUUCUGUUGGGUUUUACAAAACAAUGCAUUCCAUGGAAGCACUUUUUACAAGAACGAAAGACCCUGUGUCAUUGUGGGACGAACCCCGGUGUCGCUCCUAUCACUAUUUAUUGAUCCGCUCCUUUUAUAAACCAGGACACGGUUAGUAGACCUAUCUAGUUUGGCGUAGAUAGACCUAUCUUCACUACUGCCCCGUGCCCUGGUACAUCACGGAACAGAGCCAUACAGUGUUAUGAGCAGCACCUGUGUUUUUCCUUCGAAGACAAAACUAUGGCCUGAUGAGAGAAUAGUGCUUGCCUCUGUAAAACUGAUCUAUUGUUUGAGGUUAUUGUCUGAAGAUACUGAACAUGAACAGAAGAAAACCUUUGCCAACCCAACAUAGAGUCAAUGUUCUCCCAUUUCUAGGAUGUAAUAUAAUUGGAUCACCAUCAAUUGUUCUCUACCAACUUCAUUGUAAAAUAUUUUAAACAAAUUCUCACCUGGAGUUGAAGAAAUGGUAAGGCAUAGCAGGACCCCCCACACCCAUCUCGAUAGUUGACCCAUCUUCUAAAAAGCCGGUCAAAUAUUGCCAGUUAAAAAUAAAUCCGGUCAGACUGCAU